AAAUCUAGGUGAAGACCAUCAUGGUGGCAGGACACAGAACAGAUGCAUCUAUAUCUGUCCUCUGGGUGAUAAAGAACAAAUGACUAGAAGAGCUCUUUGCUGCCAUAUUUUCUCUCCAGUUAGGAUUUGUAACCACCUGUGUCUGGCUGGUGUUAGUUUGGUUGAUUAUUUUUUUAAUCACCAUAUAUUAUUACAUGUUUAAUUUUUCUUCAAUGUACCUGUAUUUCUUUGUGUAAUGUGAAGAAACAAUGAAUACAUGGAUGAUUAGCAGUAAUCAAGAUGAGGUUAGAGGGAGCAGAAAGUUCUGUUUCUUCCUUUCUGUGUGUGUGUGUGUGUGUGUGUGUGUGUGUGUGUGUGUGUGUGUGUGUGUGUGUGUGUGUGUGUGUGAAACACUCAUUCCUAGCUAUGUGGCAGCCAUUUUUACUAAAGUACACGUGUAUGUGUCUUUGUGUACCCAUGAAAUAUCAGAGAAUAUGAUACUUAGACCCCAUUAGCAAG